rnacentral:rRNA from 1 species
GAUGAACGCUAGCGGCAGGCUUAAUACAUGCAAGUCGUGGGGCAGCAUGAAGUAGCAAUACUUUGAUGGCGACCGGCAAACGGGUGCGGAACACGUACACAACCUUCCUUUUAGUGGGGAAUAGCCCAGAGAAAUUUGGAUUAAUACCCCGUAACAUAGCGAUGAGGCAUCUCAUUGCUAUUAUAGCUGCGGCGCUAGAUGAUGGGUGUGCGUAUGAUUAGAUAGUUGGCGAGGUAACGGCUCACCAAGUCUACGAUCAUUAACUGAUGUGAGAGCAUGAUCAGCCACACGGGCACUGAGACACGGGCCCGACUCCUACGGGAGGCAGCAGUAAGGAAUAUUGGUCAAUGGACGAAAGUCUGAACCAGCCAUGCCGCGUGAAGGAUUAAGGUCCUCUGGAUUGUAAACUUCUUUUAUAUGGGACGAAAAAAGGUCUUUCUAGAUCACUUGACGGUACCAUAUGAAUAAGCACCGGCUAACUCCGUGCCAGCAGCCGCUGUAAAAC